CUUCCCAGCAGCCUUUUUUUUUUUUUGCCGUUUUUUACAACCAAUAAUCAUUUCCCAGUUUAACCUUCACUGCUGACACCUUCUCAGCAGUCUUUGUCUCCGCACCGCCCCUUCCCUUUACAUUAGCCUACUCCCAUUUACUUCCUGUCCCACUCUCCUUUCCGUGUCAGGUGACUGACUGUCACCUGACAGGCCUUCUCAGUCUUUUCCCCAUGCUGUCUGUUUACUACUGCCCACUUCCACACUACCGGCCUAUUAUGGCUCGCCUGGUCUCUCCGACCACGCCCGCCGUACCUAGGCCCGCCCCCUUACUUCCCUAUAUAAACCUCUAGCCGUCCAAACAAUGUCAGACAUUGCUGGACGGCAGAGGUACUAGUGACAUGUCUGGUGGCCACACUGAGCGCUUGUCUCUUAUUGGAGCUCUGCUAGCUCUCUACUGACACCUCUGGCCAAAUUUAAUAUGACACAUUUCUGCUAACCUCAGGUUUUUACAUUAUCAUAUGUUACUUUGUGACUAUAUGGGCCUGAGGUCUUGCUAUAUGUGAUUCUGCACCACCG